rnacentral:rRNA from 1 species
AGGGUGUAAACGCUGCGGGCUUGGUGUUGGGGUCCGUUAGUGGGCGGCCCAGUGCCGGAGAGAAGUUGUUAAGCCUGCUGCUUGGGGAGUAUGUCCGCAAGGAUGAAACUUAAAGGAAUUGGCGGGGGAGGCACCGCAACGGGAGGAGCGUGCGGUUCAAUUGGAUUCAACGCCGAAAAACUCACCAGGAGCGACGGAUAUAUGAAGGUCAAGCUGAUGACUUUACCUGAUUUUCCGAGAGGUGGUGCAUGGCGUAGUCGUGU